CUAAACACAAACCUUCAGGAUGUAAAAAAAUGAUCAAAAGAGAUGUUUAAAAAGAAUCCGUAUUACCAGGUUUCCCAAAAAACACAUAAAAACUUUAGGAGGUAAAAAUGGUUAAAAGAGAUGUUUAAAAAGAAUAGCGCGUAUUACACGACUUCUAAACAAAGAUCCUUACGAGGUAAAAAUGUUAAAGUGCUGGCUAAAAGAAUCUCCGUAAUGUUUAAACUAGGAGAGAAGUUUUUUCCAGAGAUGUCUUCCAGUCGCUGUGUUAAGCAGUAAUGAAGUUAAACGGAGACGCCUCACUCUCGCUAAACCCCGCCCACACAUACGCGUUUUCAGACACGCCUCUCUCUCUGUCUCUCUAAACACACCCAUUCACAUGUUUUCAACGUAGCCAGUACGUUCUGUCAAAAUGUCAAUCACGGCGGUAGAACUAGAGGGCUAAUUUAUGGCCUCGUCCGUGUCAGGCCUGCGUUUCUCUAGGAGUGCUUAAUUUAUGGCUCUUUGUUUCUUCCUGACCAAAGAGUUUUUUAUGACUAGGGGAUCGUGGUGUGAUCCUACAGAUUGUUUAUGAUAAUGAGUGUCUGCGGGGGUGUUAAUUGCUUUACGACACACCCUACAAUAGGUAUCCUUUAUGUUUAAAAGUACGGCCAGUUACGCAGAAGUCUCUAAGAUCGCGGCUGUGUAUCAGAGCGCUGUGUAAUUUUAGGCGAAUCGUCGAUUCUCGUUUUAACUCACCUUUAAAGCUUUAUAUAUUAUUUUUGAGAAUACUUCAAAGAGGAGAUGGCUGUCUGUCGCAACAGUGAUGCUGACAUUGUGUCUAUCCCGGACAUCGUAGACGAAAUCAGGUUUCUGAACAAGGCAAGCGGGUCGAACACAGAAGUCCCGCGAGUCAGGUUUGAAAACCCCGUGCUGGGUAAGAUCUGUAAUAAUGAGAUGCUAUGUUUAAAAAGCGGUUUAAGAUGUCUUCUUACGUAUUGUGUUCGUUUGUUUACUGUUCAAGGUUCAAGGUUCUUAUAAGUAAGGUUCUUAUGCUGGAAUGUAGUGUUUGCUUUCUCCAAACAUAACACUUCUUAUUUAAACCAAAAGCUUAUAUUUUUCCACACAAAACAUUUUUCCAAAAGACUUUUCCACGUAAUCAUUAGCAAACUGCAGAUGGACCGCGAUGUUCUUUUUGGAGAGCAGUGGCUUUCUCCUUGUAACACUGUAAUUCACUCCAUUGUUGUUCAGUGUUCUCCUGAUGGUGAACUCAUGAACAUUAACAUUAGCCAAUGUGAGAGAGGCCUUUGUUUGCUUAGAAGUUACCCUGGGUUCCUUUGUAACUUCAGGGACUUUUACAUGUCUCACUAUUGGAGUAAUUUUGGUUGGUUUCUAAUAAACAUACUAGGUUCUCUUUUUUGAUUAAAUUAUAGCUAAUAGUAACUAGUGACCUAGACGUAUUAGGUGUAAUUUAUGCACUAGUCAAAUAUUAACCCCACCCCAUCCAGUUAAUAGUUAUAGUUGAAAUGAAGCGAUCUGGCAGCCCGAUAUUCAGGUCUCCCCCUCAGCACUUACUGUAGAACAGCGGUGCUACAGAGGCGCAGACCACAUGCCGAUUCUCUCUCUCUCUCUCUCUCUCUCUCUCUCUCUCUCUCUCUCUCUCUCUCAGUGUUCCCUAGUUUAUAACUUAUAACCUUGGUACCCAUAGUUUCCCCCUUUUUAAUGUAACUUAGGUCCAUUUAAUUUUGUGCCAGAUCAACAAAAAAUCCUCCAGUAUGUUUAUCCCUGAAAAGAAAAUGAAACAGAACACACACACGCUGCUUGUAUAAUAGAAAACAGUUGACCUGUGUUAAAUGACUCAAUGUUUUUAAGUCUGUUUUUACAUCUGUUACGCUUCCGCCGGUGGAUGGCGCUGCGGCGUCGAAGCGCAAAGACUGCUGCAGAGCGCGCGUGCACGAGACCCUGACAUAUGGACACGCGCGGCUCGUUUGUUUUGAUUUACUUCCUGUCCAGGUAUUGGCUUAUGUUCGAGGGUGUGUCUUUAUUUCUCCAGGUGUCUAUGCUUUAGAUAAUUAUGUUGGUUAUUUAAACCCCUCGUGUGGCUGCGCACUUCGCGCAGUGUUAUAGUUUGUAACGUUAGUAGUGUUUAAGGAGUAUAGCUUUAGCACUGUGUUAGAAUGCGUGUAGCAUGCUAGCGGUCUCAGUUCCAUGUUCUGUUUUCGAGUAAUGCCUAGACUGUAGUUCCAUGGUUGAUCCAGCUAGUCCUGUUCAGCAUAGACCGCGUUUCUUGUGUUCUGUUAGUUUGUUUAUCAAUAAAGACGGCGCUCCUGCGCUUACUUCCUG